UAACCAAAACAAAAGCAAAUGCUCACUCGAUCAAAAUAUGUAGACACCAUUACUAGUGUGAGAUACAAGGAUAUACCAUGAUCAAAUUCCAAACGAGAUACAGCAAACACUGAGAAUCAAACCAAGUUGUUUAUUCAAUAGGGAAAUUCUUCAUUCAUCACUGGGUCGAGAGAUAGGUACUCAUCCAAGAGCCAAAGCGAGACCAAGCCAAUUCGACAGCCGCAGGAUUCUCGUCAUCCAGUCCCAUUCCCUUUCUCCUCUUAAUACCAUCGGGUGACCUGUUAAGGAAAGCAUGCCCACAGCCAGGGUAUAUAUGAACCUCGUAUGGAACUCCCGAGGAUUUCAG
rnacentral:misc_RNA from 1 species